rnacentral:miRNA from 1 species
UGAUGAUGAUGAUGAUGAUGAUGAUGAUGAUAAUGAGUAUGGCGCUGAAUGAAGAGGAGACAGCCCAAUUCCUGAGACAGACGUCAUCAUCAUCAUCAUCAUCAUCAUCAUCAUUG